UACAGAGGGGGCAAGCGUUGUUCGGAAUUACUGGGCGUAAAGGGUGCGUAGGCGGGUCUUUAAGUCAGGGGUGAAAUCCUGGAGCUCAACUCCAGAACUGCCUUUGAUACUGAAGAUCUUGAGUUCGGGAGAGGUGAGUGGAACUGCGAGUGUAGAGGUGAAAUUCGUAGAUAUUCGCAAGAACACCAGUGGCGAAGGCGGCUCACUGGCCCGAUACUGACGCUGAGGCACGAAAGCGUGGGGAGCAAACAGGG
rnacentral:rRNA from 1 species